rnacentral:rRNA from 1 species
UAAGAUAAAGUAAUUUUUAUUUAUAUAUAAAAAAAUAAAGGUAGUAAAUAAAGGUAGUAAAUAAUGACUUAGGUAAUAAUAUAGAGAGUACUGUAAAGGAAGAAAAAAAUAUUAGAAUUUUAAUAAAGAAGAAGUAUUUUUAGUACCUUUUGUAUAAGGGAUUUUUGAUAGUUUUUAAUUAGUAUAAAAUUCUCGAAAAUUAUAGAGCUUAAAGAUUAUUAAUAAUUUUGUAGAAAUAAAAUUUAUAAUAAUCUUUAAGAAAUGAAAAUUUAGUCAAUAUAAUUAUAUCUAGUUAAAAUACUUCAAUUUCAUAUUAUUUAUAUUUAUUACAUUAAAUUUUUAAAAAAUAUAAAUAUUUUUUUAGGGAUAAGCUUAAAAAACAUUAAUAUAGUAUAUUAAGAUAUUAAAAAGACUUUAAAUUAGUUUUUAUUUUAAUAAAUAAUAUAAUAAGUGAGAGAUUAUUUAAUAUUUUUUUUAUUUUAUAUGAUUAAUCUUAAAAAAAAUUAUGAGAAUAUUAGUAUAAUAAUUUAAAUUAUAGAUAUGAAUUCGGCAAAUAAAAAUUCCAACUGUUUCACAAAAACAUUGUUUUUAGAUUUUAUUAAAGAUAGUUUCUGCUCAAUGAAUAAUUUAAAUUGCUGUUUACACAAAGGUAUUGAAAUAAGGCUUUAAAUGGGUGCUAAGAGAAUGGGGGUAUGGUUUUAAACUUUAUUUUUAUAAAUAUUAGAAUUUAAUUUUUUAUUGAAAAAGAUAAGAUAAAAAAGUGGGACAAGAAGACCCUAUAAACUUUUAUUUAAAAAAAGUAUUGUUUAAAUAUUUUUUUAAAUUUAGUUGGGGCGACGUAAAAAGAUUAAAAAUCUUUUUAUUGAUCCGUUAGAUAAUGAUUAAAAGAAUAAAGUACUUUAGGGAUAACAGCGUAAUUAUUUUGGAUAGUUCAUAUAGAUAAAAUAGUUUGCGACCUCGAUGUUGAAUUAGUGGACCUUAUUGGUGUAGAAAUUAAUAAAGGUAGAUUGCUCAUCUAUUAAAUCACUACAUGAUUUGAGUUCAGACCGGUGUAAAUCAGGUUGGUUUCUAUCUACUGAGUAAUAAUUUAAUUUUUUAGUACGAAAGGAAUUAAAAUUAAUAAGUUUUAUAAAA